GCAGGCCUGUCACCUGACACUUCAUUGUCACAUGACAUCAUGCACCUGCCAUGUUUGGAAUGAAGGUACAUGAGCAUUCAUUUCCAGCACAUUCCAUUCGGACUGCCAGCAUACAACUCAGCUGACUGUGAUUGCCUCUGAAGAAGUUCCCUGCCAGCACAUCAGCCGGGCUCUCUGAGCAAGUCCUCUUCACCGUCAUUCUGUCCAGAACUCACUGCAGUCUCCCGUGAAGAAAUCCAGAUCCUGCUGGUCGUUCUCUAUGGCUCUCCAGGUGAAAGGAAUCAAACAGAUGGAAGUGGAAGCAGUAUUGUAUGACAGCUGUGCUGUGGCUGUCUGGCACGACCGGUGGGCAGAGGGCUCCAUAUUUAGGAGCGAAAGGUGAGUGAGUCGCAGUCCCGCUGC